rfam:Phytophthora parasitica P1569 supercont1.264, whole genome shotgun sequence.
CCAAUCAGCGAGGGGUGCCGAUUGCCAGCCAUGGACCAGUUCCAUGCGCUGACCGGCUGAGAAUCAAACCCUUAGAACCUGAUCCGGGUCAUUCCGGCGGAGGGACUGCUGUUGUUCUUGUUG